GGAGUUUGGACCGUCUCUCAGUUCCAAUGUGGCCGAUCACCCUCUCAGGUCGGCUACCGAUCGUCGACUUGGUGGGCCGUUACCUCACCAACUAUCUAAUCGGACGCGAACUCACCCCAAACCCGGUUGCCCGUUUUACCCCUGCACCAUGCGAUGCUGUGGUCUUAUGCGGUAUUAGCACCUGUUUCCAAGUGUUAUCCCCCUGUCUGGGACAGAUUGUUCACGCGUUACUCACCCGUCCGCCACUGGAAUAUAUCCGAAUCCUGCCGAAGCUCUCAUCAAACAUAUCCCCGUUCGACUUGCAUGUGUUAAGCACGCCGCCAGCGUUCGUCCUGAGCCACGGAUCAAACUCU
rnacentral:rRNA from 1 species